rnacentral:rRNA from 1 species
GAUGAACGCUGGCGGCGUGCCUAAUACAUGCAAGUCGAGCGAACGGACGAGAAGCUUGCUUCUCUGAUGUUAGCGGCGGACGGGUGAGUAACACGUGGAUAACCUACCUAUAAGACUGGGAUAACUUCGGGAAACCGUAGCUAAUACCGGAUAAUAUUUUGAACAGCAUGGUUCAAAAGUGAAAGACGGUCUUGAUGUCACUUAUAGAUGGAUCCGCGCUGCAUUAGCUAGUUGGUAAGGUAACGGCUUACCAAGGCAACGAUGCAUAGCCGACCUGAGAGGGUGAUCGGCCACACUGGAACUGAGACACGGUCCAGACUCCUACGGGAGGCAGCAGUAGGGAAUCUUCCGCAAUGGGCGAAAGCCUGACGGAGCAACGCCGCGUGAGUGAUGAAGGUCUUCGGAUCGUAAAACUCUGUUAUUAGGGAAGAACAUAUGUGUAAGUAACUGUGCACAUCUUGACGGUACCUAAUCAGAAAGCCACGGCUAACUACGUG